UACGUAGGGUGCGAGCGUUAAUCGGAAUUACUGGGCGUAAAGCGUGCGCAGGCGGUUUUGUAAGCCAGAUGUGAAAGCCCCGGGCUUAACCUGGGAAUGGCAUUUGGGACUGCAAGGCUUGAGUGCGGCAGAGGAGACUGGAAUUCCUGGUGUAGCAGUGAAAUGCGUAGAUAUCAGGAGGAAUACCGAUGGCGAAGGCAGGUCUCUGGGCCACUACUGACGCUGAGAAGCGAAAGCAUGGGGAGCGAACAGG
rnacentral:rRNA from 1 species